GACGAACGCUGGCGGCGUGCUUAACACAUGCAAGUCGAGCGGUAAGGCCCUUUCGGGGGUACACGAGCGGCGAACGGGUGAGUAACACGUGGGUGACCUGCCCUCAGCUCUGGGAUAAGCCUGGGAAACUGGGUCUAAUACUGGAUAUGGCUCCACGGUGCAUGUCGUGGGGUGGAAAGCCUUGUGCGGCUGAGGAUGGGCCCGCGGCCUAUCAGCUUGUUGGUGGGGNGAUGGCCUACCAAGGCGACGACGGGUAGCCGGCCUGAGAGGGCGACCGGCCACACUGGGACUGAGACACGGCCCAGACUCCUACGGGAGGCAGCAGUGGGGAAUCUUGCGCAAUGGGCGAAAGCCUGACGCAGCGACGCCGCGUGAGGGAUGACGGCCUGGUGUAAC
rnacentral:rRNA from 1 species